AAUGAACGCUGGCGGCAGGCCUAACGCAUGCAAGUCGAACGGAUCCUUCGGGAUUAGUGGCGGACGGGUGAGUAACGCGUGGGAACAUACCCUUUGGUACGGAAUAGCCUCGGGAAACUGGGAGUAAUACCGUAUGUGGUCGAGAGACGAAAGAUUUAUCGCCAAAGGAUUGGCCCGCGUUGGAUUAGGUAGUUGGGGGGGUAAUGGCCUACCAAGCCGACGAUCCAUAGCUGGGUUGAGAGGAUGAUCAGCCACACUGGGACUGAGACACGGCCCAGACUCCUACGGGAGGCAGCAGUGGGGAAUCUUAGACAAUGGGGGAAACCCUGAUCUAGCCAUGCCGCGUGAUCGAUGAAGGCCUUAGGGUUGUAAAGAUCUUUCAGGUGGGAAGAUAAUGACUGUACCACCAGAAGAAGCCCCGGCUAACUCCGUGCCAGCCGCCGCGGUAA
rnacentral:rRNA from 1 species